rnacentral:rRNA from 1 species
UACGAAGGGUGCAAGCGUUACUCGGAAUUACUGGGCGUAAAGGGCGCGUAGGCGGCCCCUUUUGUCGCGUGUGAAAGCCCCGGGCUCAACCUGGGAGGUGCGCGCGAAACGGGGGGGCUUGAGUUCGGGAGAGGAGAGUGGAAUUCCCAGUGUAGAGGUGAAAUUCGUAGAUAUUGGGAAGAACACCGGUGGCGAAGGCGGCUCUCUGGACCGAGACUGACGCUGAGGCGCGAAAGCGUGGGGAGCAAACAGG